rnacentral:lncRNA from 1 species
CUCCAUUGCGUUUUAGUCUCGUACACUAUCUUCAGGAAUUUUUCAAAGACUUUGACAAAUUUGACACCUUUGCAUUGUCCUAGAGGGUCAGAAACCAAUCUAGAACUAUUUGAGUACGAGAAGGGAAAAUGAAAGAAGGCACUCCCUCCCCUCUCCAGCAGAGCUACACAAUGGAAAGGGAGAGGUCUGACCAAGGUCCAAAGCUGAGAGGAUUCAGCUGCCUUCUCACCAAGAAGUUCCUUUACCCUGUGUGUGUCUUCAUACUGGACCAUCCCUCUGUCCUAACAGCCUCAUUUUUCUAUUGGUGAGGUCAUUUUAGAGAUGAGGAACUGAGGCAAACAGGGAUAAAUGACUUACCCAGAGUCAUACAGUGCUAAAACCAGAUUUUUAACUAAGGAAGAUGAGUCUGACUGACUCCAUGCCCCAUGCUCUAUCUACUACACCAUCCAGCUGCCCUGUCUGACACAUUGUAAGUGCUUAAUAAAUG